rnacentral:lncRNA from 1 species
CGUCAUAUAAUCUUUAAUUUCUGCUUCACCUUUCUUCUAGGGUUGAAGGAUUGAAUGUUGAAAGAAUAAUCUUCAUUUCUUGCUCCUUCGAAUGAGAAUUCUUCGAUGCUCACGGACGAAGUCUUUGGCUCAGAAAUCUUCAACACAAACUCCAUGAGUCUUAUCUAUACCUNGGACGAGGCUUUGGCUCAGAAAUCUUCAACACAAACUCCAUGAGUCUUAUCUAUACCUGAAAUCACUUUUCAAGACAAAACAAAACUAAAAG